AUUGUACGCUGGCGGCAUGCCUUACACAUGCAAGUCGAACGGUAACAGGUCUUUCGGGAUGCUGACGAGUGGCGAACGGGUGAGUAAUACAUCGGAACGUGCCUAGUAGUGGGGGAUAACUACUCGAAAGAGUGGCUAAUACCGCAUGAGAUCUAUGGAUGAAAGCAGGGGACCUUCGGGCCUUGUGCUACUAGAGCGGCCGAUGGCAGAUUAGGUGGUUGGUGGGAUAAAAGCUUACCAAGCCUACGAUCUGUAGCUGGUCUGAGAGGACGAUCAGCCACACUGGGACUGGGACACGGCCCAGACUCCUACGGGAGGCAGCAGUGGGGAAUUUUGGACAAUGGGCGCAAGCCUGAUCCAGCAAUGCCGCGUGCAGGAUGAAGGCCUUCGGGUUGUAAACUGCUUUUGUACGGAACGAAAAGUCUUGGGUUAAUACCCUGGGAUCAUGACGGUACCGUAAGAAUAAGCACCGGCUAACUACGUGCCAGCAGCCGCGGUAA
rnacentral:rRNA from 1 species